rnacentral:rRNA from 1 species
AUUGAACGCUAGCGGGAUGCUUUACACAUGCAAGUCGAACGAGUGGCGGACGGGUGAGUAAUAUAUCGGAACGUGCCCAGUAGCGGGGGAUAACUAUGCGAAAGAGUGGUUAAUACCGCAUACUAUGGGGGCGGCCGCUAUCGGAUUAGCACGUUGGUGGGGUAAAGGGUCACCAAGGCAACGAUCCGUAGCUGGUUUGAGAGGACGACCGGCCACACUGCGACUGAGCCACUGCCCAGAGUCCUACGGGAGGCAGCAGUGGGGAAUGUUGGACGAUGGGGGAAUCCCUGAUCCAGCCAUCCCGCGUGUAUGAGAGGGCCUUCAGGUUGUAAAGUACUUUUGGCAUAGAAGCGGUAUCUGCAGAAUAAGCACCGGCUAACUACGUGCCAGCAGCCGCGGUAAUUC